AUGGCCAGCAGAGGUAUGCCAAGGUGCUUGUUGUGGGUCGGUGAGUUGGUUGACACCGGGAAGUUACACGCAGACCCUGUGAGCGACACACUCUAUCUGCGGCUUGCAGGCUUGGAUGCAGUAAUAGACAAGACACAGACAAGGAGCACUGCCGUGAAGAUUUUACUGCCAGUUUUAGGAAGUAGUGUCCUGAUACUCGUGUGCAUUUCCCUUGCAUGGUUGAAAUCCAAAGGUGCGUUUAGUUUACAUUCUUUACCUUCCCGAAACAUUCAAGUUUGUCUAUCUAUUGUACCCCCAUUCCAUGAAAGCUUUAUAAACCCAAUGAAGAUGCAAAUCCAUGCUGGUAAUGCGGUGAUGGUAAUUCAUCAAUAG
rnacentral:rRNA from 1 species